rnacentral:rRNA from 1 species
AUUAAACGCUGGCGGCAUGCCUUACACAUGCAAGUCGAACGGCAGCACGGGGGCAACCCUGGUGGCGAGUGGCGAACGGGUGAGUAAAGCAUCGGAACGUGCCCUGGAGUGGGGGAUAACGUAGCGAAAGUUACGCUAAUACCGCAUAUUCUGUGAGCAGGAAAGCAGGGGAUCGCAAGACCUUGCGCUCUGGGAGCGGCCGAUGUCGGAUUAGCUAGUUGGUGGGUAAAGCCUACCAAGGCGACGAUCCGUAGCGGGUCUGAGAGGAUGAUCCGCCACACUGGGACUGAGACACGGCCCAGACUCCUACGGGAGGCAGCAGUGGGGAAUUUUGGACAAUGGGCGAAAGCCUGAUCCAGCCAUGCCGCGUGAGUGAAGAAGGCCU